UUAUACAGUGAAACUGCGAAUGGCUCAUUAAAUCAGUUAUCGUUUAUUUGAUAGUACCUUACUACUUGGAUAACCGUGGUAAUUCUAGAGCUAAUACAUGCUAAAAAUCCCGACCUCCGGAAGGGAUGUAUUUAUUAGAUAAAAAACCAAUGCCUUCGGGCUUCUUGGUGAUUCAUGAUAACUUUACGAAUCGCAUGGCCUUGUGCUGGCGAUGGUUCAUUCAAAUUUCUGCCCUAUCAACUUUCGAUGGUAGGAUAGUGGCCUACCAUGGUUUCAACGGGUAACGGGGAAUUAGGGUUCGAUUCCGGAGAGGGAGCCUGAGAAACGGCUACCACAUCCAAGGAAGGCAGCAGGCGCGCAAAUUACCCAAUCCCGACACGGGGAGGUAGUGACAAUAAAUACUGAUACAGGGCCCAUCUGGGUCUUGUAAUUGGAAUGAGUACAAUUUAAACCCUUUAACGAGGAACAAUUGGAGGGCAAGUCUGGUGCCAGCAGCCGCGGUAAUUCCAGCUCCAAUAGCGUAUAUUAAAGUUGUUGCAGUUAAAAAGCUCGUAGUUGAACUUUGGGUCUGGGUGACUGGUCUGCGUCUACCGUAUGUACUGGAAACCCGGAUCUUUCCUUCUGGAGAACCGCAUGCACUUCACUGGGUGUGCCGGGGAACCAGGACUUUUACUUUGAAAAAAUUAGAGUGUUCAAAGCAGGCAUUUGCUCGAAUACAUUAGCAUGGAAUAAUAAAAUAGGACGUGCGGUUCUAUUUUGUUGGUUUCUAGGACCGCCGUAAUGAUUAAUAGGGAUAGUCGGGGGCAUCCGUAUUCGAUUGUCAGAGGUGAAAUUCUUGGAUUUUUCGAAGACGAACUACUGCGAAAGCAUUUGCCAAGGAUGUUUUCAUUAAUCAGGAACGAAAGUUGAGGGAUCGAAGACGAUCAGAUACCGUCGUAGUCUCAACCAUAAACUAUGCCGACUAGGGAUUGGGCGACUGUGUUUUUUGAGUUGCUCAGCACCUUACGAGAAAUUAAAGUUUUUGGGUUCUGGGGGGAGUAUGGUCGCAAGGCUGAAACUUAAAGGAAUUGACGGAAGGGCACCACCAGGAGUGGAGCCUGCGGCUUAAUUUGACUCAACACGGGGAAACUCACCAGGUCCAGACACAUUAAGGAUUGACAGAUUGAGAGCUCUUUCUUGAUCAUGUGGGUGGUGGUGCAUGGCCGUUCUUAGUUGGUGGAGUGAUUUGUCUGCUUAAUUGCGAUAACGAACGAGACCUUAACCUGCUAAAUAGCUGGGCUCGCUUUCGCGGGUUCUUGGCUU
rnacentral:rRNA from 1 species